rnacentral:rRNA from 1 species
AUUGAACGCUGGUGGCAUGCUUUACACAUGCAAGUCGGACGGCAGCAUAAAAGAGCUUGCUCUUUUGAUGGCGAGUGACGAACGGGUGAGUAAUGCAUCGGAACGUACCGAGUAGUGGGGGAUAACUGUCCGAAAGGAUGGCUAAUACCGCAUAUUCUCUGAGGAGGAAAGCAGGGGACCUUAGGGCCUUGCGCUAUUUGAGCGGCCGAUGUCUGAUUAGCUAGUUGGUGGGGUAAGAGCCCACCAAGGCGACGAUCAGUAGCGGGUCUGAGAGGAUGAUCCGCCACACUGGGACUGAGACACGGCCCAGACUCCUACGGGAGGCAGCAGUGGGGAAUUUUGGACAAUGGGCGCAAGCCUGAUCCAGCCAUGCCGCGUGUAUGAAGAAGGCCUUCGGGUUGUAAAGUACUUUUGUCAGGGAAGAAAAGCCUGAGGAUAACACCCUCAGGUCAUGACGGUACCUGAAGAAUAAGCACCGGCUAACUACGUGCCAGCAGCCGCGGUAAUACGUAGGGUGCGAGCGUUAAUCGGAAUUACUGGGCGUAAAGCGAGCGCAGACGGUUAUUUAAGCAAGAUGUGAAAGCCCCGGGCUCAACCUGGGAACUGCGUUUUGAACUGGGUAACUAGAGUGUGUCAGAGGGGGGUAGAAUUCCACGUGUAGCAGUGAAAUGCGUAGAGAUGUGGAGGAAUACCGAUGGCGAAGGCAGCCCCCUGGGAUAACACUGACGUUCAUGCUCGAAAGCGUGGGUAGCAAACAGG